rnacentral:pre_miRNA from 1 species
AUCACGUGGUGAUAUUGUUAAAAUGAAGAUUCUGAUUCAAUGGGAUGAAAAGUGGUCUGAGAUCCUUCAUUUCUAACAAGCUCCCAGGUGAUGCUGA